rnacentral:rRNA from 1 species
GGAUUCAGCGGCGGACGGGUGAGUAAUGCCUAGGAAUCUGCCUGGUAGUGGGGGAUAACGUCCGGAAACGGGCGCUAAUACCGCAUACGUCCUGAGGGAGAAAGUGGGGGAUCUUCGGACCUCACGCUAUCAGAUGAGCCUAGGUCGGAUUAGCUAGUUGGUGGGGUAAAGGCCUACCAAGGCGACGAUCCGUAACUGGUCUGAGAGGAUGAUCAGUCACACUGGAACUGAGACACGGUCCAGACUCCUACGGGAGGCAGCAGUGGGGAAUAUUGGACAAUGGGCGAAAGCCUGAUCCAGCCAUGCCGCGUGUGUGAAGAAGGUCUUCGGAUUGUAAAGCACUUUAAGUUGGGAGGAAGGGCAGUAAGUUAAUACCUUGCUGUUUUGACGUUACCAACAGAAUAAGCACCGGCUAACUUCGUGCCAGCAGCCGCGGUAAUACGAAGGGUGCAAGCGUUAAUCGGAAUUACUGGGCGUAAAGCGCGCGUAGGUGGUUCAGCAAGUUGGAUGUGAAAUCCCCGGGCUCAACCUGGGAACUGCAUCCAAAACUACUGAGCUAGAGUACGGUAGAGGGUGGUGGAAUUUCCUGUGUAGCGGUGAAAUGCGUAGAUAUAGGAAGGAACACCAGUGGCGAAGGCGACCACCUGGACUGAUACUGACACUGAGGUGCGAAAGCGCGGGGAGCAAACAGGAUUAGAUANCCUGGUAGUCCACGCCGUAAACGAUGUCGACUAGCCGUUGGGAUCCUUGAGAUCUUAGUGGCGCAGCUAACGCGAUAAGUCGA